rnacentral:rRNA from 1 species
GAUGAACGCUGGCGGCGUGCCUAAUACAUGCAAGUCGAGCGAACAGACGAGGAGCUUGCUCCUCUGACGUUAGCGGCGGACGGGUGAGUAACACGUGGAUAACCUACCUAUAAGACUGGGAUAACUUCGGGAAACCGGAGCUAAUACCGGAUAAUAUAUUGAACCGCAUGGUUCAAUAGUGAAAGACGGUUUUGCUGUCACUUAUAGAUGGAUCCGCGCCGCAUUAGCUAGUUGGUAAGGUAACGGCUUACCAAGGCAACGAUGCGUAGCCGACCUGAGAGGGUGAUCGGCCACACUGGAACUGAGACACGGUCCAGACUCCUACGGGAGGCAGCAGUAGGGAAUCUUCUGCAAUGGGCGAAAGCCUGACGGAGCAACGCCGCGUGAGUGAUGAAGGUCCUCGGAUCGUAAAACUCUGUUAUUAGGGAAGAACAAAUGUGUAAGUAACUAUGCACGUCUUGACGGUACCUAAUCAGAAAGCCACGGCUAACUACGUG